GUGUGUUUAGCUCAGUGGUAUUAGAGCAGCUCUCAUCAAUAGAAGGUUGUGGAUUCAAAUCCCACAACAUAAA
rnacentral:tRNA from 1 species